UACGAAGGGGGCUAGCGUUGUUCGGAAUCACUGGGCGUAAAGCGCACGUAGGCGGAUCUUUAAGUCAGGGGUGAAAUCCCGAGGCUCAACCUCGGAACUGCCUUUGAUACUGGGGGUCUCGAGUCCGGGAGAGGUGAGUGGAACUGCGAGUGUAGAGGUGAAAUUCGUAGAUAUUCGCAAGAACACCAGUGGCGAAGGCGGCUCACUGGCCCGAUACUGACGCUGAGGCACGAAAGCGUGGGGAGCAAACAGGG
rnacentral:rRNA from 1 species